AAAGGUGUUCGACAGCAGUUUCUUCAAUUUGUGAAUGCAAGCGUCAUACAAAUGUCGUCUUUAGAUUAAGACUCAAUUAGAAACAGUAAUUUCCUUAUUUCAUGUUCUCACAACUCUUUUUAUUAAAGUCAUGCGUCUCCUCAAUCAUUUAUAUCCAGUACCGGAUCUUCUUCAACUCAAGUAUUUUCAUAUACCCCAGAUUCAACACUCAAUGUAAGGCCAGAAUAACCACCUUCUCCAUCUUCUCUUCUACCCUACUACUCCACAUGCGCCACCCCACAUUGCUACAGUUGAAAUGGAAGACGGUCAAUAAGUUGUCUUGAUUAAAUCCACCAGAGCAGCUUGAACCACAAUAGAUCCACCCGAGCAACUUUGAUAUAUUUGCUUUGUAGCUGUCAUGUAUCCUGAUUUUGGACCUGAUCUGUACUGUAGUUAGAAGCAUGUAUCAUCUAACAAAAUGCCAAUAAAUCACAAAGUAAAAAAACUAAAUUCUAGAAGAAAUAUAACUGGGAAACUGAUUAAAAGAUAAAGACUAUUCUAGUUACAUUGCAUUGUGUACGACAAGCUUAAGCUAUUUGAUCUCCCACUGAUUGAUUGGAGCAAAGAGCCUCUGUCACAUACUAAGCCAUCUGAUCCAUGACUGAUCAAUUGACCAUGAUUCAAAAUUACAAAUACUGGAAGCACUAUUACCCCUGCAGCUUAGUAGGAUGAACAUCAUAAAGUAGUUUUGUACAAAAAAGGCACCAAAUAGACAAUGUCACCAAGGGAAACAUUAGUACUAAGAAGGCAAUCGACACAAGAUGGGGGGAUGGAUUUAGACCUCGUUGGAACUAAACAACCUGACGAGGCAACGUUGAAGGUCGAUCCCUCUUUCGACUUAAACAUGCAACCAUAGUCCAACCAAAUUUUAGUGAUGUGGUCGAUAUAAGAUUUCAAACAUUUUACUUGAGUUGGUAAAAAGUAAAUGAAAGACCAAAACGCUGGUCAUGCCCUAUACUCAACUGAUAAUGGCAGGCUAACACUUCCGCCAACACAAAGGAAGUUCUAGCUCGUACAGGUGAACAUGCACUACAAGCCUACAAAAUAUACUCCCAUCUCAGGUUUUAAAAGUUUUCAUUGAACCUUUUGCUCCCAUAUCCUAUGCUACUUUUUAGGCCUUAAGGGACUAUACUAAUUGGCAUUUACUACUUCCUCUGAUCCAUAAUAAGUGUCACAGUUUUGAACUAAGGUUGAACACCUUAGUUCAAAGUUGCGACACUUAUAUUUGGAUCGGAGGGAGCGCAAACUAAGGGUAAAAGAAAAUCUACAAAAUUGUAACCAGCUAGUGUAGUACUGCAACCUUUUGUAUAGAUACCUGAACACAAAGGGAAAAAAAUGGAAAUUAGUAGACAUAUAUCACAUCAUCAUAAAAUUUACUUGGAAGUGACCAAUAUUGCUUAAACAUCUCAACUAAAUCAAAGCUUGAGAAGCAAAAGUUUAUCUCCUUGAUGCCUUCAUCAUAAAGGAGGUCACACAUCUGCACUUUGCAAACCAACCAAAAAAAUUCAGAUCCAGUAGAGGGAAGCCAACUAAAGAGAUGAGGGUGAUGGUUAGUUGUUGGGUCGACAAUCCAGUGAGGGUUCGGUGACUGCUAGCGGCAAGGCCAGGAGGCAGCGCCGUGAUGAUCAUGGAGCCCGCAGGUCUGAGCCCCCAUGCCUGUCCAUCGGACCCAUGCGCAGCUGCAGGAUUUUGAGAGCGAGUGGCCGACUGGCCGCGACAGCGCUACCAGAGCACUUCGUGGUCAAGACUAAAGCAACUUCUUCCUCUUGCCCAAGCAUGCGACCUCCUAACCUCAUCCUCCCAAAUCAUUUUUCCACUAAUUUUACAAGGACACAGAUGAUUCAGAUAUUUAUAUGUAUAGUUUUUCUAGAACUAUUUGACAUUUGGAAAAUUAUUAUUCAUGCGGAUGCAUGUAUGAAUUUCUCCCAUGCAGCUUGCUAGUUUUCUUCACCACCCAAUUCCAUUACCACUGAAUCCGAUCAGAAAAAUAACAAGCUCGCUAAAUUGAAUGCAGUGUGCAUCAACAUAAUAACUCGUUAAUAUAUAGCUCUAUGAUCUCCAAAAAUGAAUGUAGACAUUCAGUUAUAAAGGCUGCAUUUCUUUUAGUUCUUUCAAGAGACCGGCAGAAACAUUGCCUUUGAAUUGCAAAAAUAGAGUAUGUCUAACAAUCAUUAACUUGUUUAUUUCGUUGUAGUGGCAACCCAAUGGGAGAACCUUUUUCGUACUUAGACAUUCGACUCGCGCUUUUUAACAAAAGGACAGUCAAUUCACUGAAUGAAAAGGAAAUAAUUGACGAAACAAAUGUUGUGGUUAAUUACCUGAAGCAUACUACACAUACUUAAAUGUAAAUGUGUUUGUCAACAGAUUGUGCCACAUAUUUAGUCAAAUCUAGAUUGCAAUGCACCCCUUCAUUUUGUCCUCAAUAAUAACUUGAUCUGCAUGAAAGCAUCCAAAUUGAGAACAAACAAAGGAUACGUAAAAAGACAUGU
rnacentral:lncRNA from 1 species